rnacentral:piRNA from 1 species
UCAGAACAUGAGGUUGAAGACUGGG